AGUUCCUUAGCUCAGUUGGUUUAGAGCAGCUCCCUUACAAGGAGAAGGUCAACAGUUCGGAGAUUGGUUAAAGAAGGUUACAAAACUUAUCGUUGUGAGAUUUGUGGAAUUA
rnacentral:tRNA from 1 species